rnacentral:rRNA from 1 species
UACGUAGGUGGCAAGCGUUGUCCGGAUUUAUUGGGUUUAAAGGGUGCGUAGGCGGCCCUGUAAGUCAGUGCUGAAAUAUCCCGGCUUAACCGGGAGGGUGGCAUUGAUACUGCAGGGCUUGAGUGAAGUCGAGGUAGGCGGAAUUGACGGUGUAGCGGUGAAAUGCUUAGAUAUCGUCAAGAACACCGAUAGUGAAGACAGCUUACUAGGCUUAUACUGACGCUGAGGCACGAAAGUGUGGGGGAUCG